rnacentral:tRNA from 1 species
GGGUGCGUGGCUCAACUGGUACAGCAACGGUCUCCAAAACCGUGAUUGUCUGGGGGUUCGAAUCCCUCCGCGCCUGCUA